AAUACAUUGUGAUUCACAAUUCACCGUGUUGCGUGUAUAAUUCAACUUCGAUACGAUGCGCUAUUUUUGCGGUGUGCGCACAUUGAAGGCCGGACAAGCGACUAGAGAUUAUCUGUUAAAGUAAUUUUAUCAUUGUAUGGUGGAUUGGAUGUAUAUUUUAAAUGUGGUUAUCAGGAGUGGUGGCCGAACGCAAUUUGCUAAUUUGUUACAGACACAGUUUACAGAAAAUCUUAUCUUAAGUCUCUGCUGGUGGGAUGUUCCAGCCGCGUGCCAAUAAAUUGGAGACAAUCCAAAGGAUCCACUUCAGACGUGUCUAGCUGGCUUUAAAUUAGGAUUCACUUUUACCGGUACAUGUUCCCAUCACUUACGCAUUGACGACUGCUUAUAACCACACACAAAAAUAUAACAUCGUAUUUUAUUAUUUUUCAAUAAACACGAGUAUUUUAAAUUGAGAAAAAGUCGUAUUCAGAUGGGUAAAUUAUACGAGUUUUACUAUGGAGACAUAUGGCUCUACAUACAUUAUAAAUAAGUACAAAAACCAAAAUAAGUCUCAAGCAUUCACUUAUCCGAAAAAUAAUUUUCUACUAACUCAUGGUAUAGAGUAAGGCAGAACGGGAAUCAAUGAGCAGACAGACGACUACGACAAGGAAGUGAAGAAAAUAAGUGAAACAAAGUUACAAUUAAACUGAGCUAGUAAGCCGACUUUAGGCAAUUCAAACUGAUCGAGGAAUGUAUCAAAGGUAAAGUGGCCAAAAAAUCAUACUUAAAAAAUUAUUACAAAUGCGAAUAUUAUUAGUAUAUUUUUAAAAUAUUGAAAUGUGAGCAUAUAUGCUAUAUAAUUGUAUUUGUGUUACAUGAAUUGUUUGACUGUCGACUUAAUUUACA